UGGGGAAUAUUGCACAAUAGGGGAAACCCUGAUGCAGCGACGCCGCGUGAGCGAAGAAGUAUUUCGGUAUGUAAAGCUCUGUCAUCAGGGACGAAAAAGGACGGUACCUGAGAAGGAAGCUCCGGCUAACUACGUGCCAGCAGCCGCGGUAAUACGUAGGGAGCAAGCGUUAUCCGGAAUUACUGGGUGUAAAGGGAGUGUAGGCGGGACUGUAAGUCAGAUGUGAAAUAUGCCGGCUCAACUGGCAGACUGCAUUUGAAACUGUGGUUCUUGAGUGAAGUAGAGGUAAGCGGAAUUCCUGGUGUAGCGGUGAAAUGCGUAGAUAUCAGGAGGAACAUCAGUGGCGAAGGCGGCUUACUGGGGC
rnacentral:rRNA from 1 species